GACGAACCGUGCGAUCGUUAUUCGGAAUCACUGGGCUUAAAGCGCGUGUAGGCGGAUGGGGACGUCGGUCGUUGAAAGCCCCCGGCUCAACCGGGGAACUGGCACCGAAACGCCCCGUCUCGAGGGACGUAGGGGGACCUGGAACUUCCGGUGGAGCGGUGAAAUGCGUUGAGAUCGGAAGGAACGCCCGUGGCGAAAGCGAGGUCCUGGACGUCUACUGACGCUGAGACGCGAAAGCUAGGGGAGCGAACGGG
rnacentral:rRNA from 1 species